rnacentral:rRNA from 1 species
CAGUCGCCGCGGGAAUACGAAGGGUGCAAGCGUUAAUCGGAAUUACUGGGCGUAAAGGGAGCGUAGGCGGCGUGGUAAGUCAGAUGUGAAAUCCCGGGGCUCAACCCCGGAACUGCAUCCGAUACUGCCAUGCUAGAGGAUUGGAGAGGUAGCUGGAAUUCUUGGUGUAGCAGUGAAAUGCGUGGAGAUCAAGAGGAACACUCGUGGCGAAAGCGAGCUACUGGACAAUAACUGACGCUGAGGCUCGAAGGCCAGGGUAGCGAAAGGGAUUAGAUACCCCGGUAGUCCCUGUCUCUUAUAC